GGGAGGCACGAGCCCAUUCUCCCGUGACGGUGACUCCAACGGUUGGCUGAGGACGAUUCCCUGAGCCUUGACAAAGCAGGAGCCCUCCGUGGCGGUGCGUCGGUGUCGAGGCUCCAGUCUGACUAAUCCAGGGGGUCGACAAAACAGAUUCGGGACACUAUGCUACACGGAGGGCCUACCAGGAUGCAGAAACAGCAGACGGAGUCCAGGGAAAGCAGUGCGGCAUCCCAGCCUCAGGCCUGCCCGUACGGUGUUCGGGCUAGCUUGGACUUGUUCUGAUGGAAAUAGCAGGAGUCCCAACUACAAGAGUUGCAAUGUCAAGGCCUCAUCUUAUAACUGGCACAUAGGUCACUUCCACCAUAUUCUUUUUGCUAACGAAAGUCACAAAGUCAGUCCAUGUUCAAGUAGAGGGGAAACUGACUCCACCACUUGAUGUGAAGAGUUGGAAUAUCAUAGUUAUUGUUUCUUGUGACUUGCCAUAGCGUAUUUUCUCACACUAACAACUCUGUAUUUCUUCCCAAAUUCUGAAAAAUUCUUUUGUUGGCUCUUCCUGUACUUGAUUCAUUACAUUAAGUUUUCCAUUUAAAUGUUAUUUCCUUGGAAAGACUUUAUCAUUUGUCAAGUAGGUGUAUUCUCUUCAUCAGUUACUCUAUUUUCUCAUUACAAUAUGAACUUUGUAAAAAUGGGAACUUUACUUUGUUUAUGCCAGUAGUUUAUAUACAUUUUCUGUUACGUGAAAAGUACAAAAUGUUUUUUUCAUGGUUAAAGAAAUAAAAGAAUAAAUAUGUAAUCACUGCAA
ensembl:lncRNA MIR663AHG MIR663A host gene